AUUGAACGCUGGCGGCAUGCUUUACACAUGCAAGUCGAACGGUAACAGGCCGCAAGGUGCUGACGAGUGGCGAACGGGUGAGUAAUGCAUCGGAACGUGCCCAGUCGUGGGGGAUAACGCAGCGAAAGCUGCGCUAAUACCGCAUACGAUCUAUGGAUGAAAGCGGGGGACCGUAAGGCCUCGCGCGAUUGGAGCGGCCGAUGUCAGAUUAGGUAGUUGGUGGGGUAAAGGCUCACCAAGCCAACGAUCUGUAGCUGGUCUGAGAGGACGACCAGCCACACUGGGACUGAGACACGGCCCAGACUCCUACGGGAGGCAGCAGUGGGGAAUUUUGGACAAUGGGCGCAAGCCUGAUCCAGCAAUGCCGCGUGCAGGAAGAAGGCCUUCGGGUUGUAAACUGCUUUUGUACGGAACGAAACGGUCUGCCCUAAUACGGUGGGCUAAUGACGGUACCGUAAGAAUAAGCACCGGCUAACUACGUGCCAGCCGCCGCCGUAACAC
rnacentral:rRNA from 1 species